rnacentral:rRNA from 1 species
AUACGGAGGAUCCGAGCGUUAUCCGGAUUUAUUGGGUUUAAAGGGUGCGCAGGCGGCCAUUUAAGUCAGCGGUUAAAUCGUGGGGCUCAACCCCAUUCUGCCGUUGAUACUGGGUGGCUUGAUUGCGGUCGAGGUUGGCGGAAUUCGUUGUGUAGCGGUGAAAUGCAUAGAUAUGACGAAGAACACCGAUUGCGUAGGCAGCUGACCAGACCGCAAAUGACGCUCAUGCACGAAAGUGCGGGGAUCGAACAGGAUUAGAUACCCUGGUAGUCCGCACAGUAAACGAUGAAUACUUGUUUUCGGCGAUAUAAUGUCGGAGGCAAAGCGAAAGCGAUAAGUAUUCCACCUGGGGAGUACGCCGGCAACGGUGAAACUCAGAGGAAUUGACGGGG